rnacentral:rRNA from 1 species
GUGCACCAGUCGAGAAACCUCCGCAAUACACGAAAGUGUGACGGGGCCAUCCCGAGUGCCGUCCGCUGAGGACGGCUUUUCCCCAGUGUACACAGCUGGGGGAAUAAGGAGAGGGCAAGCCUGGUGUCAGCCGCCGCGGUAAUACCAGCUCUCCGAGUGGUGGGGACGCUUAUUGGGCCUAAAGCAUCCGUAGCCGGCUGGGCAAGUCCUCCGUUAAAUCCAACGAUUCAAUCGUUGGGCUGCGGGGGAUACUGUCCAGCUUGGGGGCGGGAGAGGCCGACGGUAUUCCCGGGGUAGGGGUGAAAUCCUAUAAUCCCGGGAGGACCACCAGCGGCGAAGGCUGUCGGCUAGAACGCGCCCGACGGUGAGGGAUGAAAGCUGGGGGAGCGAACCGGAUUAGAUA